CUGAGAGCAGAACAGAACAGAAUCUUCAUCAUCACACAAGACAAAACAACAACAAUGAACAACAUCAUCAUCCUCAUCUGGACACUCACACUGUUUGCUCAAGAGUGUAGAGGACAGUACACUGUUACUCAGAGUCCAUCAAAAACAGCAGCUCAAGGACAAGAAGUCAGAAUAAACUGUAAAGUCAGCAGUGGAGUGUAUAAUGGUGAUUAUUUAGCCUGGUACUUACAGAAACCUGGAGAAGCUCCUAAACUCCUCAUAUAUGAGACAUCAAGCCGUUACACUGGAACUCCAUCUAGAUUCAGUGGCAGUGGAUCUAACAGUGAUUUCACUCUGACCAUCAGUGGUGUCCAGACUGAAGAUACAGGAGAUUAUUACUGUCAGAGUUUUCACUACCCAGGUAGCACUAGGGUGUUCACACAGUGAUAAAGAGUCGUACAAAAACCUCUGUCAGUCAGAGUCACAGUGACUGCACUGAUACAGAUGAGAGAAACUGCAGCUGCUGAUGGGUGUGAAUCAACUCAAUCACUCUUGUCUGUAGAUCACUAUAUUACAAUGCAGAACACUAUGUAAUAAUAAAUUCAGUCUGUACUGGUUAGUUUAAUCACUAUAAUGAAUGAACAAAAAAGGCUUGACACU